UACGUAGGGUGCGAGCGUUAAUCGGAAUUACUGGGCGUAAAGCGUGCGCAGGCGGUUUUGUAAGCCAGAUGUGAAAUCCCCGGGCUUAACCUGGGAAUGGCAUUUGGGACUGCAAGGCUCGAGUGCGGCAGAGGAGACUGGAAUUCCUGGUGUAGCAGUGAAAUGCGUAGAUAUCAGGAGGAACACCGAUGGCGAAGGCAGGUCUCUGGGCUGACACUGACGCUCAUGCACGAAAGCCAGGGGAGCAAACGGG
rnacentral:rRNA from 1 species